UACGGAGGAUGCGAGCGUUAUCCGGAUUUAUUGGGUUUACAGGGUGCGUAGGCGGAUCGUUAAGUCAGUGGUCAAAUUGAGGGGCUCAACCCCUUCCCGCCAUUGAAACUGGCGAUCUUGAGUGGAAGAGAAGUAUGCGGAAUGCGUGGUGUAGCGGUGAAAUGCAUAGAUAUCACGCAGAACCCCGAUUGCGAAGGCAGCAUGCCGGCUUCCUACUGACGCUGAAGCACGAAAGCGUGGGGAUCGAACAGG
rnacentral:rRNA from 1 species